rnacentral:rRNA from 1 species
UACGUAGGGUCCAAGCGUUGUCCGGAUUUAUUGGGCGUAAAGAGCGUGUAGGCGGUUCGGUAAGUCUGUCGUGAAAACCUGAGGCUCAACCUCGGGCGUGCGGUGGAUACUGCCGGGCUAGAGGACGGUAGAGGCGAGUGGAAUUCCUGGUGUAGCGGUGAAAUGCGCAGAUAUCAGGAGGAACACCGAUUGCGAAGGCAGCUCGCUGGGACGUUACUGACGCUGAGACGCGAAAGCGUGGGGAGCAAACAGG